rnacentral:rRNA from 1 species
UACGAAGGGGGCUAGCGUUGCUCGGAAUUACUGGGCGUAAAGGGCGCGUAGGCGGACAGUUUAGUCAGAGGUGAAAGCCCAGGGCUCAACCUUGGAAUUGCCUUUGAUACUGGCUGUCUUGAGUUCGGGAGAGGUGAGUGGAAUGCCGAGUGUAGAGGUGAAAUUCGUAGAUAUUGGGAAGAACACCGGUGGCGAAGGCGGCUCUCUGGACCGACACUGACGCUGAGGCGCGAAAGCGUGGGGAGCAAACAGG